rnacentral:lncRNA from 1 species
CUGAAAGGUACAAUGUAAAAUCACCUACUAUAAUUGAACUAGAAUAAAAGAUAGACACUUGGAACUAAUUCUUCUAUCUUGUUCAAGUAGCUUCAGGAUUGCACGCUUGAAUCACGUAUAAAUUUCUUGCAAAAUCUCCUUGCUCUUUUGCUCUCUAUUUAACUUUAACUUCUGCUUAUGUGCAUUGCCUAUAAAAGAGAACAACACUGAUAUUUAAUGGGUUAGUAAUUAGAGAUUGACUGGGAUACAGAUGCUACUCUUCUAUCAUAGAAGAGUUCUAGUUGAUCUCAUACUCUAACACUUUCCUCUUCCUAAACUGUGUUCUUUUAGUGUAAAGAGUGUCACACCUCCUUUUUCUACCCCACAAGGGUAUAAGAGAGUUUUUUUCAAUUUAAGUGUCAAUCGAAACGAGAUUAUUUAUUCUUAUUCAGAGUCGCCACUUGGGAUAGUUUAUUGGCGUCCCAAGUCAGGUUUAAAAUCCCGAAUCGAGGAAAGUUUGACUCUGUUUUACAGCCCGCAAACACAGAAAUCCGGGUAAGGAAUUCUAUUAACCCGGAAGAAAGUAUUAGGCAUUCCCGGGCUCCGUGGUUUUAGCACGGUCGCUCAACUGUUAAUAUUGGCCUAUUUAUUUGAUUUUAAAACAACUAAUUCAAUUGUUUUACAACUAAUUAUUAAUUACAUGUUUGCGAAUCAUGUCACGAGAACCAUACCCACGAUCCACAACGUGUUUAUUUUAUUAAAAAAUAAAUUGUGGUCGGGUCACAUAAAUGUACCCCCGGAUUUUUAGAAAUUAGGUGUCACAACCACGUCAUGGGAACAGUACCCUUAGCUAUGACAAUUAAUUAAUUAACGCGUCUAAAGCAAACUACGAAAGUUCAAGACAUUUUUUAUACUAGUCAAGGUAAUUAAUAUGAGGGCCAUAGAUUAUGGAUUUGUUUGCGUAUGGCGCACCUCAAUUAUUUUAAAAGAAAAGAUUUGUAUUUCGUUAAGGCCAACUAAAAUAUUCCUACUUAUAUCUAAUUUUAAAGAAAACUAAGUAUCACAACCAUGUCACGGGAACCGUACCCGCAACUACGAUGAAAUGCCGACCUGAACUGGUUAUAUGAAGAUUAUAGGCAGUGUUACAUUGCAAAACCCAUAGGAAUAAAACUUGAAGGCUUGGUUGGUUUUUACUUAUUCCUUCAAAUUACUUACACAGUUUCACUAUCCUAGUAAUAUGACCAUUAUAACUAAUGCAAGUCAAAUAUGUUGAAUUUCCUAUGAAAGCUCACGAGAUGAAAGACCUUUAUUAUGCAAAUCAUACCAAAUAGCCUCCUUACAUGGAAAAAUUCUGGACAUUAAUUUAGUUCAUGACCAAAGUAUCAGUAAUCUUUCUCCCUCAAACAAUUUAUCACAAAACUAUGGCCACUAUACAUAUAUUAUGCUUAAACAGUUAAAAGAAUAAAACCUUAGGAAUAAACUUCAAUGUAUUCCUAGUUUUAUUAAUGAAAUCACGCACACAACAAAAGCAAACAUUCGUAUUGCCACUCUCAUGUAAUUAACGAAUCCGCCCGCAAAAUUCGAGCAAAUUUCUCCAAAACAAAUAGGCACAAAAUAUUACUAUAAAAUUCAUACUCAACAAAGUUAACAAGAUAUAUACAAUUUAAUGAAAUGUGACUAAAUCACGGCCAUAAACAUCAUUGAUACUAACAAAAAGGGAACGGACCUUUGAACAAAUUGAAAUUCAACCUCAAAUCAGAAACAAAGAGCAACGAUUUCAAAUCGAACCUCGACGGCGCCGGAAAACUCUAGUUUUUAUGCUCAACGCUUCUGCUUGAUUUUCUCCCACUUCGGAUUAGCAGCAGAUGUGAGCGAAAGAAAUGGGGACAGUGAGUGUGUGUGGGUUUGUUUGCCGGGUCUACUGCUAGCGACGUCGCUGGUCAAAGGGGUCGGAUUCUGGCGGCGGCUGGUGGCUGGUUUAGUGGGAUACAAGUAACGGCUCACAUGGAGAUUAAUGGAGGUAAGGGAGUGGCGGUUGGUAUUGUUGGUCGACCAAAUCUGAUGGAUGUAACGGCCAGGGUCCUUGGUUAGCGAGGUGAAAAAUAAGAACGGAGGGGGGGGG